rnacentral:rRNA from 1 species
UACAGGGGGGGCAAGCGUUGUUCGGAAUUACUGGGCGUAAAGGGCCAGUAGGCGGCCAACUAAGUCCGACGUGAAAUCCCAAAGCUUAACUUUGGAACUGCGUCGGAUACUGGAUGGCUUGAAUUCGGGAGAGGGAUGCAGAAUUCCAGGUGUAGCGGUGAAAUGCGUAGAUAUCUGGAGGAAUACCGGUGGCGAAGGCGGCAUCCUGGACCGACAUUGACGCUGAAAGGCGAAAGCUAGGGGAGCAAACGGG